ACAAGAUUUAUGCCCUUUUGGUUAAUGUGGAGAAUAUGGAAGAGCGGAAACGACCUAGUCUUUAACCACACGCGAACAAAAUUCCAAACUACAGUGGAGAUGGCUCUCAAUGACACCAAGGAAUGGUUGGACAAUACAAUGACAAACGAGCAGCAAAAUGGGAACAGGAAUGCAGAUCCGUCUCGUAAUACCAAGUGGUCGCCGCCGGGAAGAGACAAAUUAAAAUGCAACUAUGAUGCAUCGCACCAUGAAAGAAACACAGUUUCAGGACUUGGUUGGAUCCUUCGGAACUCUCAAGGUACUGUGAUCGAGUGUGGUAUGGGGAAAUUUCAAGGUCGUAUGACGACGGAGGAGGCAGAGUGUUCAACACUUAUUUGGGCUAUACAAGCUUCCUAUGGCUUCGGGCAUAAGAAGGUUAUUUUUGAGGGAGAUAACCAAACCAUCACCCGAAUGAUAAACACAAAGUCAUCUAAUCCAAGGCUACAACACUUUCUCGAUACCAUCCAAAGUUGGAUACCAAGUUUUGAAUCGAUAGAAUUCUCUUUCAAACAUCGAGAACAGAACGGAUGUGCGGAUUUCUUAGCCAAACAAGCCAUCAAAGAGAAUACCCAAUGGUCUCUGUUUCAUUCUUGUCCUUAUUUUCUGAGUCCAUAUGUAAACAACGAUUACUCUUAAGUUCUAAAUAAAGUUAUAAGUUGAAAAAA
rnacentral:sRNA from 1 species